UCGAAGAGAAAUAAAACGGGCAUUUUUGUCACUACGAGAUUCAAAUGUUUCCUUCUCAUGUUUCCCUUCAACGGCGCAAAAUUUGCGUUUCUUGCCGCCAUAUAACGCUACUGUUUGCCUUCUCUCAUUCCCAAAUACAUCGAUCAACACACAUUCAAGAGAAAUAGGAAACCCCAUUUUAUGAUUUAUUUUCUUGUUUGAGUUCGUCCUGGUUUUUGCUCAAAAGCGACAUUGUCAGGUACGUAAGAUUAUUUUAAUCUAAUUCUGCGUCCGGACUCCGGAGGCAUCUGAAUAUUAGGAUUUGAUUUGCUCUGCAGUGCGGCUCUAAUUUAGGGUAAGACUUCUACUAUUCUUCAAAUUCAAGGAAACAUAUGACUAGCAUUCAAGAUAUUGGUCUUUCAGCAGCUAUCAAUCUUUUGACUGCAUUUGCAUUCUUCGUAGCAUUUGCAACAUUGCGGCUUCAACCAAUAAAUGAUAGAGUUUACUUCCCUAAAUGGUACUUGAAGGGGAUAAGAGGCAGUCCAACACACUCUGGAGCACUUGUGAGCAAAUUUGUCAAUUUGAAUGCCCUAUCAUACAUAAAAUUUCUGAAUUGGAUGCCACCAGCUUUAAGAAUGCCAGAGCCAGAGCUUAGAGAUCAUGCGGGACUUGAUUCUGUUGUUUAUAA